GAUGAACGCUGGCGGCGUGCCUAAUACAUGCAAGUCGAGCGAACAGACGAGGAGCUUACUCCUCUGACGUUAGCGGCGGACGGGUGAGUAACACGUGGAUAACCUACCUAUAAGACUGGGAUAACUUCGGGAAACCGGAGCUAAUACCGGAUAACAUGUUGAACCGCAUGGUUCAACAGUGAAAGACGGUCUUGCUGUCACUUAUAGAUGGAUCCGCGUCGCAUUAGCUAGUUGGUAAGGUAACGGCUUACCAAGGCAACGAUGCGUAGCCGACCUGAGAGGGUGAUCGGCCACACUGGAACUGAGACACGGUCCAGACUCCUACGGGAGGCAGCAGUAGGGACUCUUCCGCAAUGGGCGAAAGCCUGACGGAGCAACGCCGCGUGAGUGAAGAAGGUCUUCGGAUCGUAAAACUCUGUUAUUAGGGAAGAACAAAUGUGUAAGUAACUAUGCACGUCUUGACGGUACCUAAUCAGAAAGCCACGGCUAACUACGUG
rnacentral:rRNA from 1 species